ACKGCUCAGUAACACGUGGCUAACCUGCCCUCGAGACAGGGAACAUCCCCGGGAAACUGGGGCUAAUCCCCGAUAGAUGAGAACACCUGGAAUGGGUUCUUGUCCAAAAGGCACCUAGAUCACUGCUUCUUGGUGUUGCUCAAGGAUGGGGCCGCGUCCGAUCAGGCUGUUGGUGAGGUAAUGGCUCACCAAACCUAUAACCGGUACGGGCCGUGGGAGCGGGUGCCCGGAGAUGGGAACUGAGACAAGGUCCCAGGCCCUACGGGGCGCAGCCGUACGAAAACUUGUCCAUGCACGAAAGUGGGAACGGGGCUACCCCGAAUGGCGGCCGCUGAGGAUGGGUUUUCUCCUGCUGGAAGGGAGCGGAGGAAUAAAGGGAGGGGCAGUCUGGGGUCAGCCGCCGCGGGAAUACCAGCUCGCCGAGUGGUAAGGAUGAUUAUUGGGGCUUGAAGCGUCCGUAGCCGGCCUCUCAGUCUCUCGUUAAAUCCAGCGAUUCAAUCGUUGGACUGCGGGAGAUACUGUGAGGCUAGGGGGCGGGAGAAGCCGACGGUAUUCUCGGGGUAGGGUAAAAUCCUAUAAUCCCGGGAAGACCACCAGUGCGUAGCGGUCGGCUAGCACGCGCUCGACGGUGAGGACGAAGCUGGGGAGCGACCGGAUUAGAUACCCGGGUAGUCCCAGCUGUAACGAUGCUGGCUAGUGUUGAAGCGCUACGAGCGCUUCAGUGCGCAGCAGCAUUAGCCAGCGCUGGGAGUACGCGCAGCUGAAACUUAAAGGAUGCGGGGAGCACAUCUCUAAGAUCCCGGGUACGAGCUC
rnacentral:rRNA from 1 species